GAACUUCCUCAUUACUAUAAUUUACAGCCGUCUAUGAAUUUAUGAUAUAAGUACUGUUGCUUUCUCUAACAUAUUUCGUUUAAUUGCAUCGUUUUUCUUUUAUAGAUCCAAACGUCGAGCUGAACAAAGAGAGCCUUGUAUAAUGGAGGCAAGAAAAUGAUGGGGGGUCGAUAUUGUGCCGGCAUUUGAAAACUUCUUUGACUGAAUAUAUUGAAAACUAAAAUUCACUUCAUGUCACGUUUAAAUAUUCAACUUAUCUUAAACGAAGUUAUUGUAUAUCAUAUUCAUGUCACCUUGAAUCGAAGUUUUAAUUUGUUUGAACUUUAAUAGAAUUCGAUCUUACGCUAUUUAACUUUCAGAAUUUUUUAUCGUUAAUUAAUUCAGAUUUACAAUAACAAUAUAUAAUUGACACCCGAACAUUACAACUAAUUAAGAUUUAACUCUUUAGCUUUAUAUGGGUAUGACAUGCACAACUAAAAAGCCGCGUGGCGUUGAUUAUGUUGACAUUUUUGUUUGACAACUACUUUCAUAGAGUAUAAAAGUAACAUAAAUACAAGUUAACUUCUACAUCGAUGUUCACGAUGAUCUACAA